rnacentral:lncRNA from 1 species
GGACAAAAUCAGAUAAGAAAUGCAAGGUGGGCGGUCAAUCUUGUUUAGAGUGAAUGAGAUAGAAAUAUGUCUGAGAUUUUAAAACUUUGUUUAAUGCCCUCAUUUCUAACCUUAUUAGACCAUCAAUUCUUUCUUUUGUGGAGCAUUAAUGACCACAGAAUAUAGGUCUUUAUUUUCUCCCCUUCUCUUCUUGGGUUUAAUUGUCUUUUUGUGCCAAGUAGUUGUUGUGCUUUUGUCUCUCUCUCAUCAUGCUGCGAUAAUAAUAGUAGGCUGUAUUGCAUGCCCAUUAUUAUGUGCCAAGAAUGUGCCAAGAUUUUGCAAAUAUUACUUCUAAUCCUCAGCAUAAUCCUGUGAGGUCAUUAUUAUUGUCUCUGUUCUUGAGAUGAGGGAACUGAUGGUGACAGGAUGCCCAAGGUUACCCAGCAAGUAAGUUACGGAACUAGAAUCCAAUCCCAAGUCAUCCUGACUCCAACUCCCACAUUAUUUCCACCAUACCAUGUUGCUGUGGGUGUGAACUUUUCUCCUUUUUUUAAAAUUAGCUUUAUUGAUAUUUUUAGUGUUUUAAACAGUGGUUUCUCUCAAAGUGUCCUAAGUCCUGGGUGUACUUAACUGGAAAUCAUUUCAGGGCAGCAGAAAGACUAGACUGUGGAGUGUGAGUGAGCUGAGGAAGGUGGAGUCUAGAGAGUUGCUAGGAUGGGGCAGUCUGGGAUCUGACGUUUUAAUAGCCAGAAGACCCAAAUCUUGCAGAUUCAUAUCAAUAUGGAGGGAAGUCUCUUGUAGUUUGCUCCAGGACUGUUUUCUUGACCAUGUUAUGAUCAUUAUAUUCUUAUCAAUAACUUGGAUGACAAUGUGGGCAGAUGGCAAAUAUUUUCAAGAUAAACUGAGGAUCCAAGAUGAUUUUAGCAUGUUGCACCAAUAUGUAAUCUAAUAAAAAUGAAUCAUACUGUCAUAAAAGUAAAAUUCUGACUUUACUUCUAAAUUAAACUUCACAAGGGUAGGGUAGAAGACAUGAGUAAAAGAAGGGAUACCGUGAAGUGGCGGUGUGAUAUAGUAACCAAAAAGGUAAUGCUAUUUUAGGCUGCAUUAAAAGAAGCACAUUAGAAGGGGGCCUCCCUGGUGGCGUAGUGGUUAAGUUCGUGUAUUCCACUUCGGUGGCCCAGGGUUCAUGGGUCUGGAUCCUGGGAAUGGACCUACACUACUCAUCAAGCCAUGCUGUGGCAGGUGACCCACCUACAAAGUAGAGGAAGAUUGGCACAAAUGUUAGCUCAGGGAUAAUCUUCCACCAAAACAACAACAACAACAACAACAACAACAACAGCAACAACAAGCCUCCGACUCAGGACUUUUCACUCCAAAUCCUCUUUGCAUUGUACCAGGUUACAUCAUUAGUGGGAGAUAAGCAUGAGACAGGGGUAUUUUGAAGAGGAGUUACAUAGAAGAACAUUGAGUGGAUGUCUGAUAAAUCCCUCUUUCAACCUGAGAACUAUGAUUCAAUGAUUCAAGUAAAUUUCUUUGCCUGACUUGAUUCAGCUCAGCACUGAUGGCUGUUUGAUCAAUGAAGUUUAUCAACUGCAGGGGUAACAGGACUAUCAAUUCCACUUUACAGCAUGAACAGGAAGGCAGCACUUGGGUUUCCAUUCCCCAUUUCCUGCCAACACAGCUGAUCCCUCUUGUAUAUUAGCUUUUAGCUUGAGAAUCCCAAGGAAUUUCCCUCCUAAGCUUUUAAAAUUACUGACCAUGGAAUAGUGAACUCUGAGAUGUCGGGCAUCUUCUCUAUCCUCAGGGAGAACUUAUUCUUUGUUUCAUUGUUGCUAGAUAAUGAAAGGUUUUCAGAGGUGUUUUGGGUGUCCACAGUUACAUAUUGUGGCUGCCAGGAUUUGUUAAGGGGUGAAGAAAACUCCCCAAAGUCACAAGCUAUUGACAAAUCACAAAUUACAGUAUUUCAAUUACAAUCAUUCAAUUGGUUGUCCCUCCCUUUUACUAUCCAAUGGGCUGGAGAGGCAUUAUGUUGCCAUAUGGCCUCUGGGCUGCUGAUGUGGGUCAGGUUGUCACAAUUCAAGGGUACAGCCCUUUGAGAUGUGUGACUGAGGCUGUAGGAGUGAAGGGGAGUUGGAAUUUGUGGUUCAGUGAUUUCCUACAGGAGCUGUAGUCAUCUCCUGGGAGGUGCUGUUUUGGGGCUGAGAUUUUUCCAGGUUGAAUAUUCCCUUAGAUUCCUUGGCAUAGUUGUAGCUGAUGUUCCUACUGAGCCAUACAGUGGUGGAGCGGUGUCUGGAAAGAACCCCUCUACUCGCAGCUUGUAUUUGCCUUCACCAGGGCAAUGGUGAAGGAAAGUAAUGUUGAUCCCAGGAAAAAAUUUCAAGUUGCCUUCAGUGACCUCAGAUUCUGCUUUGUCUAAAAGCCUCUUCUGUGUGUGUGUGAGUGAGUGUGUGUGUGUGUGACAGAGAGAGAGAGAGAAAGAGAGAGAGAAACAAAGAGACAGAGAGGAGGGAAGAGAUGUUGUGGGGGAGUGAGAGUGAGAAAGAGGUUUUUCUAGACAUCAGCAAGCCAUUUUAUGCCAAUUUGGAUUGCCUCUUGGUUUUUUACAGGCCCAAUAUAUUCGUUGCCAAGUAUUCACC